rnacentral:misc_RNA from 1 species
GAAAUGCGAUAAGUAAUAUGAAUUGCAGAUCUCAGUGAAUCAUCGAAUCUUUGAACGCACAUUGCGCCCCUUGGUAUUCCGAGGGGCAUGCCUGUUCGAGCGUCAUUAUCACCCCUCAAGCCUAGCUUGGUGUUGGGGCUCGCUGUAAAGGCGGCCCUUAAAAUCAGUGGCAGUGUCUUCCAGACUCUAAGCGUAGUAAUAACGCCGCUAUAGAGUGCUGUGGGCGCGCGCCAAAACCCCAAAUUUUUUACGAUUGACCUCGAAUCAGGUAGGGAUACCCGCUGAACUUAA